rnacentral:tRNA from 103 species
GCACCCGUAGCUCAGCUGGAUAGAGCGCUGCCCUCCGAAGGCAGAGGCCAGGGGUUCGAAUCCCUUCGGGUGCGCCA